rnacentral:tRNA from 1 species
GCCCUCGUGGUGCAAUGGAUAGCACGCAAGAUUCCGGUUCUUGAAAUUCGGGUUCGAGUCCUGACGAGGGCGCUA